rnacentral:rRNA from 1 species
ACGUAGGGGGCGAGCGUUGUCCGGAAUUACUGGGCGUAAAGGGCGCGUAGGCGGUUGAAUAAGUCUGUUGUGAAAUUCCAAGGCUUAACUUUGGCAGUGCAAUGGAAACUGUUCGACUUGAGUACGGCAGAGGCAAGUGGAAUUCCCAGUGUAGCGGUGAAAUGCACAGAGAUUGGGAGGAACACCAGUGGCGAAGGCGACUUGCUGGGCCGAAACUGACGCUGAGGCGCGAAAGCGUGGGGAGCAAACAG